rnacentral:rRNA from 1 species
GACGAACGCUGGCGGCGGGCUUAACACAUGCAAGUCGAACGGAAAGGCCCUGCUUGUGUGGGGAGCUCGAGUGGCGAACGGGUGAGUAACACGGGAGUAACCUGCCCUGGACGGGGGGAUAACUGCAGGAAACUGGGGCUAAUACCGGAUAGGAGCUCCUGCUGCAUGGGGGGGGUUGGAAAGUUUCGGCGGUUGGGGAUGGACUCGCGGCUUAUCAGCUUGUUGGUGGGGUAGUGGCUUACCAAGGCUUUGACGGGUAGCCGGCCUGAGAGGGUGACCGGCCACAUUGGGACUGAGAUACGGCCCAGACUCCUACGGGAGGCAGCAGUGGGGAAUAUUGCACAAUGGGCGGAAGCCUGAUGCAGCAACGCCGCGUGCGGGAUGACGGCCUUCGGGUUGUAAACCGCUUUCGCCUGCGACGAAGCGUGAGUGACGGUAAUGGGUAAAGAAGCACCGGCUAACUACGUG